GACCGAUAGGAUAUAUACGUAUUGCAAGGAAGUGGCCUCCAAGGAUCAUGGAGGCAGAGAAGUCCACGAGCUGCGGUCGGCAAGCUGGAGACCCAAGCCGAUGCUGUCCCCGUAUCUGUGAAACCGCCUUGGAAAAGCCUCUACACACAAGCAAUGCCUUGUUCCUGGCCAACUACCACAGGCCUGCUCCAGCACUCCUGUCCCUGAGGCUCCCAUCCCUCUGAGACUGGCUGUGCCCGGGAGAAAGAGGAGGAGGAGGAAGAGGAGGAGGACUCUCCGGAGAUCAGAAGUGAGAAGUUUUACACAACCGGGGAAAUGGAGGAAAAACCCGAGUCUUAAAGCCCCAGUCGUUGCCUAUCUGAGCCUCACCACUACUCACUCCAAAUUAAUGCAAGGAAGAUUUUGACCUUGAGGGUCGGGUUGAACCAGACUAGCACGGAAAAGGGAAGGUGGAAAAGAAUCUGAGGGAAAGAGGGUACCCUUCGGAAAACAAGGAAUAUUCAAGUACCAGGUGCGAAAGUUUUAAAUAGAAACCCGCUUACAUUGCACUUGGAGUAACAACAGCUGGCUGGAGGUCCUGGGGCUCCUCAGAAGACGAAGAAUUUUUCCGGGACAGUCUCAACAUCACGUGAAGCCAUUGUAGCAAAGGCUACAGCUCAGUGGCCCCCUGUCUAUGCAUCUCAAAUUGCGAGCUUAGGGAUUUAUUUUCUAACUUGUACACUAAACCUCUCACAUUCCACCCGCACACAAUGACUCUGUUUUUCAAAAUGCUGUCAUACAUGGGAAUUUUAUGACAUCAAACCCUUAAAAAUGUGGAAACUUUGGUUUCAAAAUACUUAAUAGGGGAAAAUAAUAAACCCCUUGAUUCACAGUUUCUUUGCUUGCUUACGGUUCGUUUCUGACACUGUGACUGGCGCGUGUUUGGGAGGCCGGGUUUCGGAGGCAUAAUCAAGUAUUCAUAUAUGCCUGGUCUUGGCACCGCAGAACGCUCCCUCUAAUCUGGAAAUAUUUUCCCUUCAGACAGGAAUAGAGAGGUUACAUUUGGGUCACUAGCAAUCUCACAAAAGGCUUUUCAAACGAGAUGAAAGAAAAGAAGUUCUGAUUUGUUGGGAGAAAUCGGAGAGCUUUCCAACUCGAGGGAUGUGGUGAGCGUCCAGGAGCGCGUCCAGGAGCGGCAUCUCUGGGGUGGGAAGCCGGGAGCACCCCCGACGGAUGGGCUGAGCGAGAAGGACAGGGUUACAGCCGGCGGAGGAGGCGAUGGAGCCCCUGCUUCCUCCAGGUGUCCCUUACGCAGACUUUCCAGGCAGGCUGUUGGCUGCAGGCGGCCGUCCCUCUUCCUGUGGCUUGGGCAUCAGCUUUCCAGCUCUCUCUGGAAAGCCUGUGUAAUGGCCGCCUGCCUGCAUGCGCUGCCUCGCCCACGACCCCAACAGUUAAACAGCUCUGUUCACAACCAGGGGAGGGUGACAACAUUUCAGAUGCAUUUCCUCCAGGCAGGACGAGUUGGCCCCAGCGGAGCGUACACCUGCGUUCCUCAAUCAUAGGAGGCUCUGUCUUUCCUCUCGCAUGACCCCGCUUUCCUACGUCUGUUGGGAAAGCAGAAUAUUUAGAAUCAAAGGGGCAGCCAGGGGAGGGAGAGAGGCGAAGUGCUGCCCAGCGCCUCAAAUGUCGCUGAGGAAUCAGGAGACACAGUUUCCUUCAGCUUAAAGAACUUACUUAGUUCCUUAAAGUCGAAUGAAUUCCUCAAGCACUGGAGAAACUUUUGCAAAAAUAUCCAGAGCCCAGACCAGUGCUUGGCGUGCAGCACACACUCCAUGAACGGCGUGGAGUGCGGACGCAGAGCACUGUUUCU
ensembl:lncRNA